rnacentral:rRNA from 1 species
CUACGGGAUGCAGCAGUGGGGAAUAUUGCGCAAUGGGCGAAAGCCUGACGCAGCAACGCCGUGUGAGGGAUGAAGGCUUUCGGGUUGUAAACCUCUGUCGGAAGGGAAGAACGGGCAUUGGUCUAAUAGGCCUUUGUUUUGACGGUACCUUUAGAGGAAGCACCGGCUAACUCCGUGCCAGCGGCCGCGGUAAUACGGAGGGUGCAAGCGUUAUUCGGAAUUACUGGGCGUAAAGCGCACGUAGGCCGUUUUGUAAGUCAGGGGUGAAAUCCCACGGCUCAACCGUGGAACUGCCUUUGAAACUGCAGGACUUGAAUCCUGGAGAGGGUGGCGGAAUUCCUGGUGUAGGAGUGAAAUCCGUAGAUAUCAGGAGGAACACCGGUGGCGAAGGCGGCCACCUGGACAGGUAUUGACGCUGAGGUGCGAAAGUGUGGGGAGCAAACAGGAUUAGAUACCCUUGUAGUC